GGUGGCUCAGUUGUAGAGCUCUUGCCUUGCAUGCAUGAGGCCCUGGGUUCGAUUCCUCAGCACCA
rnacentral:tRNA from 1 species